UCCUCUGUGGCGCAAUUGGCCAGCGCGUCUGACUGUUAAUCAGGAGGUUGGAAGUUCGAGCCUUCCCGGAGGAG
rfam:Chaetomium thermophilum var. thermophilum DSM 1495 unplaced genomic scaffold scf7180000011814, whole genome shotgun sequence.